rnacentral:misc_RNA from 1 species
GAUGAAGAACGUAGCGAAAUGCGAUACGUAGUGUGAAUUGCAGAAUUCAGUGAAUCAUCGAAUCUUUGAACGCACAUUGCACCUCUCGGUAUUCCGGGAGGUAUGCCUGUUCGAGCGUCAUUUGUACCCUCAAGCUCUGCUUGGUGUUGGGUGUUUGUUCCGCCUCUGUGUGUGAACUCGCCUCAAAACAAUUGGCAGCCGGCGUACUUGUUUCGGAGCGCAGCACAUUUUGCGAUCCAGAUCAACGUACAGCGGCAUCCAAGAAGCCUUAUUUAACGCUCUUGACCUCGGAUCAGGUAGGGAUACCCGCUGAACUUAAGCAUAUCAAUAAGCGGA